GUCUACGGCCAUACCACGUUGAAAGCACCGGUUCUCGUCCGAUCACCGAAGUUUAAGCAACGUCGGGGCCGGGUUAGUACUUGGAUGGGUGACCGCUUGGGGAACACCGGGUGCUGUAGACA
rnacentral:rRNA from 1 species